rnacentral:rRNA from 1 species
GGUAGCAGGCCUUCGGGUGCUGACGAGUGGCGGACGGGUGAGUAAUGCGUAGGAAUCUGUCUUUUAGUGGGGGACAACCCAGGGAAACUUGGGCUAAUACCGCAUGAGCCCUGAGGGGGAAAGCGGGGGAUCUUCGGACCUCGCGCUAAGAGAAGAGCCUACGUCUGAUUAGCUAGUUGGUAGGGUAAAGGCCUACCAAGGCGACGAUCAGUAGCUGGUCUGAGAGGACGACCAGCCACACUGGGACUGAGACACGGCCCAGACUCCUACGGGAGGCAGCAGUGGGGAAUUUUUCGCAAUGGGGGCAACCCUGACGAAGCAAUGCCGCGUGGAUGAAGAAGGCCUUCGGGUUGUAAAGUCCUUUCG